rnacentral:rRNA from 1 species
UACGUAGGGUGCAAGCGUUGUCCGGAAUUAUUGGGCGUAAAGAGCUCGUAGGCGGUUUGUCGCGUCUGCUGUGAAAACGCGAGGCUCAACCUCGCGCCUGCAGUGGGUACGGGCAGACUAGAGUGCGGUAGGGGAGAUUGGAACUCCUGGUGUAGCGGUGGAAUGCGCAGAUAUCAGGAAGAACACCGAUGGCGAAGGCAGAUCUCUGGGCCGUAACU